rnacentral:rRNA from 1 species
CCUACGGUGAGCAGCAGUGGGGAAUAUUGGACAAUGGGCGAAAGCCUGAUCCAGCCAUGCCGCGUGUGUGAAGAAGGCCUUCGGGUUGUAAAGCACUUUCAGUGGGGAAGAAAGCCUUGGGGCUAAUACCCUCGAGGAAGGACAUCACCCACAGAAGAAGCACCGGCUAACUCCGUGCCAGCAGCCGCGGUAAUACGGAGGGUGCGAGCGUUAAUCGGAAUUACUGGGCGUAAAGCGCGCGUAGGCGGUCUGAUAAGCCGGUUGUGAAAGCCCCGGGCUCAACCUGGGAACGGCAUCCGGAACUGUCAGGCUAGAGUGCAGGAGAGGAAGGUAGAAUUCCCGGUGUAGCGGUGAAAUGCGUAGAGAUCGGGAGGAAUACCAGUGGCGAAGGCGGCCUUCUGGACUGACACUGACGCUGAGGUGCGAAAGCGUGGGUAGCAAACAGGAUUAGAUACCCCUGUAGUC